rnacentral:rRNA from 1 species
GAUGAACGCUAGCUACAGUGCUUAACACAUGCAAGUCGAGGGGCAGCAUGUCGGUUGCUUGCAACCGAUGAUGGCGACCGGCGCACGGGUGAGUAACGCGUAUCCAACCUACCCUUGUCCAUCGGAUAACCCGUCGAAAGGCGGCCUAACACGAUAUGCGGUUCUCAGCAGGCAUCUAACGAGAACGAAAUGUGAAGGAGAAGGAUGGGGAUGCGUCUGAUUAGCUUGUUGGCGGGGUAACGGCCCACCAAGGCUACGAUCAGUAGGGGUUCUGAGAGGAAGGUCCCCCACAUUGGAACUGAGACACGGUCCAAACUCCUACGGGAGGCAGCAGUGAGGAAUAUUGGUCAAUGGGCGAGAGCCUGAACCAGCCAAGUAGCGUGAAGGAUGACGGCCCUACGGGUUGUAAACUUCUUUUGUGCGGGAAUAAAGGAGCCUACGUGUAGGCUUUUGCAUGUACCGUAACGAAUAAGCAUCGGCUAACUCCGUGCCAGCAGCCGCGGUAAUACGGAGGAUGCGAGCGUUAUCCGGAUUUAUUGGGUUUAAAGGGAGCGUAGAUGGAUGUUUAAGUCAGUUGUGAAAGUUUGCGGCUCAACCGUAAAAUUGCAGUUGAUACUGGAUAUCUUGAGUGCAGUUGAGGCAGGCGGAAUUCGUGGUGUAGCGGUGAAAUGCUUAGAUAUCACGAAGAACUCCGAUUGCGAAGGCAGCCUGCUAAGCUGCAACUGACAUUGAGGCUCGAAAGUGUGGGUAUCAAACAGG